rnacentral:misc_RNA from 1 species
CAUCUCAUCCUAUCAACAAAGGCUGGCCCACCAUACAAUAAAAUGGGAAGGUGAGGAACAGCCUGAACAUAUCCCAGCUGACGUGCAAACAAGCAGAGAAGAUACAACUCAUAGCCACAAGGAGAAGUUCGAGACUAGAAGUGAGUUCCUAGCGGAAUAUGUGUGUACUCUAUAUGCUAAACUUGAAUGACUGAAAGUGGGUUUGGGAAUUUAGGUUGAAUUGCAAUAUGGCUUGGCUUGAGGUUUAGAUUUGUGAUUGCCUUGCUAGAAUAUCCUUGGAAGUAGCUUUGGAUUUUAGAUAAGGCUCUUUUGGGAUGCAUUAAUUACUUGUAUCAUGUGGCAUGAUUUCUUAAUUUGUGGUGGAAACUUUGUAGUUUGAGUUGUUAUAAAUGGACUAGAUUUUGAUGCCAUGAAUUUAAUUGGAGACGUUUAUGGAAUGGUAAAGGACAUUUAUUGUGUAUAAAGUGAAAGUCAAAUUGAUACAACCGUGCAAGAAUGUUUUUAUAGUUUAUCCAUAUUGGGCAAACAGUAAAAUUAAUGACAGUACAAGAAGUUAAGUUUGCAUGCAUUUUGAUUUUACAUAAAUUUUGACAACAUUUCCUCUAAAAAUUUGUUAUGCUAAAUUUUUUCAAUACCACAGAGUUACAAUCAAGACAAACAAUCAAGAUAUUGCUCAAAAUAUAUAAGUUUUUGAGUGUCACAAUUCAACAUGUGAUCAAGGUUUUCUUAAUAAUCAGAGGUUCAAAAAAUUCACAGAGGCUCAAUUUACAAAUAUCAUUCAUCAAUUACAUGGCACAAAUAAGAUCAUAUAGUACAAUAUCAAUUUUAUCAAAGGAGGAUUACCGGAAAAUAUUCUGACUCAAAUUUCAUCAGUUUUCUUCAAAGAUACACCACUCGAAAAUUUUCUGAUACUCAAAUUUCAUCUUUUCCCAUUAAAUUCAUAACCUAAAAAAUUUUUGUAUCCUAAUUUGUCAAUCUCUAUCAAUUUUUCAUUACCCGAAAAAUUUUGAUACCCACAUUUGGUAGUUUCUUCAAGUCUGCUUGUUACCCGAAAAAUUCCGAUACUAAAAAACUCCAUGCAAACUCAUCAAAUUAUCAACUAUUCAUCAACCAUAAAUUUUUUGGUACUUAAAUCAUAUAAUUUCACAUCAUUUUCAUCAAAUUAAGCAAUUGUUUGUUUCUCGAAAAUUUAUGAUACAUCAAAAAUUGUCAAAAUUUAGGGGAAAAAAAAACAUACAUUUUUUCUUCGCGUUUCUUCCUC